rnacentral:rRNA from 1 species
AGAGCGAACGCUGGCGGCAGGCCUAACACAUGCAAGUCGAACGGACCCUUCGGGGUUAGUGGCGGACGGGUGAGUAACACGUGGGAACGUGCCUUUUGGUUCGGAAUAGCUCCUGGAAACGGGUGGUAAUGCCGAAUGUGCCCUUCGGGGGGAAAGAUUUAUCGCCAUUAGAGCGGCCCGCGACUGAUUAGCUAGUUGGUAAGGUAAUGGCUUACCAAGGCGACGAUCAGUAGCUGGUCUGAGAGGAUGACCAGCCACAUUGGGACUGAGACACGGCCCAAACUCCUACGGGAGGCAGCAGUGGGGAAUCUUGCGCAAUGGGCGAAAGCCUGACGCAGCCACGCCGCGUGAAUGAUGAAGGUCUUAGGAUUGUAAAAUUCUUUCACCGGGACGAUAAUGACGGUACCCGGAGAAGAAGCCCGCUAACUUCGUGCCAGCAGCCGC